CUGUCUGUGUGUCAGUGUGUGCGUAUGUCCUCACGAUAGGCGUGAUGGACUUAUUCUCCUGUCUUCUCGCUGUGUCAAACUGAGAACCUGCUGCCAGCAGUGAGACGAGCCACGCAUACAGUUCAUCGUACUUCA